CAUGUUGUCCCCAUGUUGUACCCAUGUUGUCCCCAUGUUGUACCCAUGUUGUACCCAUGUUGUACCCAUGUUGUACCCUGCAUUCUGGCCUGGCAAAAGUCUUUUACAAGGCAUCUUUGCUACCGUAAAUAAUUAAAAUGUUUUUUAAUAACUACUCUUUUACAAAAACAUGACUAAUUCUAUUGCACAAAUGUCCUGUCUUUAUGUUAAAUUCUUUAUAAUACAUCUUACUUGUUCAAAGAGCUGUCUUGAAAAUUUUUGAGAGGGUCCUUUUCCUAGGCCUGCAAAUAAAGUGAUACAUGCUAUGUGGGCAGCCUUAACAAACAAUGCUCUGAUGUGUUGAGCAUGCAGGAUACCAAGAGGUUAACAAGGUGCUCUCCUGCUGCUCCUUAUGACAGCUGAGUUUACAUCACCUCACAAAAUCACACGCACAAACACAACACAUUAUUUCAAGAUUUAAAGUUUAAGAGAGUGAGAACUUAAUUGAACCACAUGUCAUUAACAGGGCUCUUAAGUUUUGAAGACAGGCAAGAGUGACAUAUCUAUCCAGGAUGCUUUAUUUUCAUUGGUUGCUGGAUUAAAUCUUACCCAGAUACAACAGCGACGUUUUUUUCUGAUUGGCUAUUGUGUAGCAAAUUUCUUUUUUUUGAUUGGCUGAUAAGUGGCACCUCAGCAGAACUCCAGGGGAGCGCUUGAUUCCUCCACGGUGAGGGCAGCGCGGCUCAUGUUGGCGGCACAUUAAAACAUUAAAUAGCCGACAGUUUUUUCAGCGUGAGAAAUACGAUGUGUGGCGGGAGUGCGUGACUUAAGACCGAAAUGCGUGACUGUCCCGCUCAAUGCGUGACACUUGAGAGCCCUGCACUAACACACCGUAGUCUCUGCUCGUUGUGUCUGUUUGAAAAUCUUCUUCUGUUGCUAACUUCGGGACUCUUUGGGGUAAAUAGGAUGUCUAUGCAGCGAAUAGGUUUAUAGAUGCGCUCCUUAGCGCCAUCUAUCGUCGCGGAGUUUGAAAAGAAACCAACGCGCCUCGGCCCAAAAUCAGAAUUUCUUUUGCCGUGAGAUAUUGGUUGUGUGGCGUGAGAGCGUGAAAACAUGCAAAAGCGUGUGUCACACAGCGAAACCGUGAGAGUUGGUAGCUCUGGAAUGGUCAUUUCUAAAGAAGAGCGGCAUAAAAUAAAGCAAAACAAUGCCGCGCAUGGACCCCAACAUGGCCGCCAAAGGUUGUUGUGGUCACGUGAGUGAAUACGCUCAAUAAGGCGACAUGAUCCCGUUAAACGACGCAGUAUGACGUCAUGGAGAGCCGCGCGCAGCUCCUCAGCCUCAAUCUGAUUCGUCAUUUCUUUUGGCGCCAUUUCAUGAUCAGUUGGAACGUGUGUGUCUCGCGAGGGGACCACUGCGCGCGUGCACGAGCUCGUAUCUCGAUACUUUAGUUAGUUUACAGCAGCGCGACGCGGAGUGCAGCGACACGAUGAUGGGACAAAAAAACAUCAACUCGUUUUUUUCGCCAGUGUCGAAGAAGAGACUUUCUAAGGAAGCCAAGGAGGACGCCGAGCACCCGAAGAAGCUGAAGGCCUCGGCGGGGGAGCCGGCGCCUCCUCCCCCGGGGCAGCGGGACGAGGAGGAGCCGGCGCCUCCUCCCCCGGGGCAGCGGGACGAGGAGGAGCCGGCGCCUCCUCCCCCGGGGCAGCGGGACGAGGAGGCCGCGCUGGAGCUUCCGGGCUUCGGGGGAAGCUGGAGAGACGCACUGGCGGCGGAGUUUGGGAAGCCGUACUUCAAACGCCUGAUGACCUUCGUCUCUGAGGAGCGGAGCCGCGGCUCGGUGUUCCCUCCGGCCGAGGACGUCUUCACCUGGACGCAGUGUGACGUCAGACAGGUGAAGGUGGUGAUUCUGGGCCAGGACCCGUACCACGGGCCUCACCAGGCUCAUGGGCUGUGCUUCAGCGUCAGGAGGCCGGAGCGUCCUCCGCCCAGUUUGGGGAACGUGUUCAAAGAGCUGGCGUCUGACAUCGAAGGCUUUCAGCACCCGGGUCACGGGGACCUGACGGCGUGGGCCGCUCAAGGUGUGCUGUUGCUCAACGCCGUGUUGACGGUCCGAGCGCACCGGGCCAACUCCCACAAGGACCGCGGCUGGGAGACCUUCACGGACGCCGUGGUGAGGUGGCUCAGCGCCAACCUGCACGGCCUGGUGUUCCUGCUGUGGGGAGCGUACGCGCAGAAGAAGGGCGCCGCCAUCGACAGGAAGCGGCACCACGUGCUGCAGGCGGUGCAUCCCUCGCCCUUGUCUUGUCAUCGAGGAUUCUUUGGAUGCAAGCAUUUCUCAAAGGCCAACGAGCUGCUGAAGACAUCCGGGAAGUCUCCCGUGAACUGGAAGGAACUUUAAGAUGUUCUUCAUAUUUCCUUGCAUGCGUGUUGUCAACUUCAAAGUGAAACAUCAGCGUUCACAGCCGACUGCACAGAGGUCUCUGACGGCCUUCACCUGGGCGGCUGAGUUGUCACGGCCUUUUCUAAAACGGAGUGUCAGCCUUCCUCAGGUGUCAUAGAGCUGCUGUCCGUCUCCCCUGCCGCUUCUUUACUGGAACAAAGAGAAUUGUGUGUACGGCAUUUCAAUCAGGUAAGACCCGUUAAAUGAAGAAAGGAUGUUUAUUGUUAACAUGUGAUGUGCAACGAUGAAGUCUCAGAGCCUUUGGCGCUUGGACUCUAUGGGGAGAUUUGAGGUUGAGGGCUGACUGCCCUGAUCAGCAACGAGGUGGACCCCCCCCCCCCCCCCCAUGGAGUCCAGACCUGGUGGUGCUGACGAGCUCAAGCUGAUGGAUCCUUGAAGACUGGCUGGAGAUGGGGUGGUGGAGGGGGGGGGGUGCAUGACAGCAACCUGAAUGAACUGAAGGAGCCACGUCAUCAGUUCCCCUUAUUGGAUCAGUGGACCAGCUGAUCUUUGCAGCUGGAGUCACGGAGCGAUGACGGCGAGUAAGUAAUG